UGGGGAAUAUUGCACAAUGGGCGAAAGCCUGAUGCAGCAACGCCGCGUGAGUGAUGAAGGUCUUCGGAUUGUAAAGCUCUGUCUUUUGGGACGAUAAUGACGGUACCAAAGGAGGAAGCCACGGCUAACUACGUGCCAGCAGCCGCGGUAAUACGUAGGUGGCGAGCGUUGUCCGGAUUUACUGGGCGUAAAGGGUGCGUAGGCGGAUGUUUAAGUGAGAUGUGAAAUACCCGGGCUUAACUUGGGUGCUGCAUUUCAAACUGGAUAUCUAGAGUGCAGGAGAGGAGAAUGGAAUUCCUAGUGUAGCGGUGAAAUGCGUAGAGAUUAGGAAGAACACCAGUGGCGAAGGCGAUUCUCUGGACUGUAACUGACGCUGAGGCACGAAAGCGUGGGUAGCAAACAGGAUUAGAUACCCUGGUAGUCCACGCCGUAAAACGAUGAGUACUAGGUGUAGGAGGUAUCGACCCCUUCUGUGCCGCAGUAAAACACAUUAAGUACUCCGCCUGG
rnacentral:rRNA from 1 species